rnacentral:SRP_RNA from 1 species
GCUGGGCACAGUGGUGCAUGCCUGUAGUCCCAGCUACUCAGGAGGCUGAGGCUAGAGGAUCACUUAAGUCCAGGAGUUCUAGGCUGUAGUGUGCUAUGCCAAUCAGGUGUCUGCACUAAGUUCAGCAUCAAUAUGGUGACCUCCCGGGAGUGGGGGACCACCAGGUUGCCUAAGGAGGGGUGAACUGGCCCAGGUUGGAAACGGAGCAGGUCAAAACUCCCGUGCUGAUCAGCAGUGGGACUGUGCCUGUGAAUAAUAGCGACUACACUCCAGCCUGGGCAACAUAGCAAGACCCUGUCUCU